UGUUCUGUGGCGGAGUUGGUUACCGUGCCCUGUCUAGUUGGCGACUUAGGGAGACGUGGGUUCAAACCCCUUCAGAACUA
rnacentral:tRNA from 1 species